AAACAGACCGCUCUUUUACUUUUUACCUAUAAUAUUUGACUAUUCGUCUUAUUAAAAAAUUAUAAUUAAUAUUUUUGUUUUUAUUAGAUGAUGAAUCAUAAAUAGUACUUUACGUGUGACUAUUUUUUUCCAAUUUCUUAAUUUUUCUUUAAAUAAGAUGGAUGGUCAAACGCUGAACACGAAAAUCGAAAGAUUGGUUUGUU
rnacentral:pre_miRNA from 1 species